rnacentral:rRNA from 2 species
GCAUCAUGAUUUACAUUUGAGUGAGUGGCGAACUGGUGAGUAACACGUGGGAAACCUGCCCAGAAGCGGGGGAUAACACCUGGAAACAGAUGCUAAUACCGCAUAACAACUUGGACCGCAUGGUCCGAGCUUGAAAGAUGGCUUCGGCUAUCACUUUUGGAUGGUCCCGCGGCGUAUUAGCUAGAUGGUGGGGUAACGGCUCACCAUGGCAAUGAUACGUAGCCGACCUGAGAGGGUAAUCGGCCACAUUGGGACUGAGACACGGCCCAAACUCCUACGGGAGGCAGCAGUAGGGAAUCUUCCACAAUGGACGAAAGUCUGAUGGAGCAACGCCGCGUGAGUGAAGAUGGGUUCCGCUCGUAAAACUCUGUUGUUAAAGAAGAACAUAUCUGAGAGUAACUGUUCAGUAUUGACGGUAUUUAACCAGAAAGCCACGGCUAACUACGUGCCAGCAGCCGCGGUAAUACGUAGGUGGCAAGCGUGUCCGGAUUUAUUGGGCGUAAAGCGAGCGCAGGCGGUUUUUAAGUCUGAUGUGAAAGCCUUCGGCUCAACCGAAGAAGUGCAUCGGAAACUGGGAAACUUGAGUGCAGAAGAGGACAGUGGAACUCCAUGUGUAGCGGUGAAAUGCGUAGAUAUAUGGAAGAACACCAGUGGCGAAGGCGGCUGUCUGGUCUGUAACUGACGCUGAGGCUCGAAAGUAUGGGUAGCAAACAGGAUUAGAUACCCUGGUAGUCCAUACCGUAAACGAUGAAUGCUAAGUGUUGGAGGGUUUCCGCCCUUCAGUGCUGCAGCUAACGCAUUAAGCAUUCCGCCUGGGGAGUACGGCCGCAAGGCUGAAACUCAAAGGAAUUGACGGGGGCCCGCACAAGCGGUGGAGCAUGUGGUUUAAUUCGAAGCUACGCGAAGAACCUUACCAGGUCUUGACAUACUAUGCAAAUCUAAGAGAUUAGACGUUCCCUUCGGGGACAUGGAUACAGGUGGUGCAUGGUUGUCGUCAGCUCGUGUCGUGAGAUGUUGGGUUAAGUCCCGCAACGAGCGCAACCCUUAUUAUCAGUUGCCAGCAUUAAGUUGGGCACUCUGGUGAGACUGCCGGUGACAAACCGGAGGAAGGUGGGGAUGACGUCAAAUCAUCAUGCCCCUUAUGACCUGGGCUACACACGUGCUACAAUGGAUGGUACAACGAGUUGCGAACUCGCGAGAGUAAGCUAAUCUCUUAAAGCCUAUUCUCAGUUCGGAUUGUAGGCUGCAUACUCGCCUACAUGAA